rnacentral:rRNA from 1 species
GUGAGGAAUCUUCCACAAUGGGCGAAAGCCUGAUGGAGCAACGCCGCGUGCAGGAUGAAGGCCUUCGGGUCGUAAACUGCUUUUAUAAGUGAAGAAUAUGACGGUAACUUAUGAAUAAGCACCGGCUAACUACGUGCCAGCAGCCGCGGUCAUACGUAGGGUGCAAGCAUUAUCCGGAGUGACUGGGCGUAAAGAGUUGCGUAGGUGGUUUGUUAAGUAGGUAGUGAAAUCUGGCGGCUCAACCGUACAGGCUAUUACCUAAACUGGCAAACUCGAGAAUGGUAGAGGUAACUGGAAUUUCUUGUGUAGGAGUGAAAUCCGUAGAUAUAAGAAGGAACACCAAUGGCGUAGGCAGGUUACUGGACCAUUUCUGACACUGAGGCACGAAAGCGUGGGGAGCGAACGGGAUUAGAUACCCUUGUAGUCC